rnacentral:piRNA from 1 species
CAAGAGCACUGAAUCGACUUCUGAACAUGGA